rnacentral:rRNA from 1 species
AGCAUUAUACAGCGAAACUGCGAAUGGCUCAUUAUAUAAGUUAUCGUUUAUUUGAUAGUACCUUACUACUUGGAUAACCGUGGUAAUUCUAGAGCUAAUACAUGCUAAAAAUCCCGACUUCGGAAGGGAUGUAUUUAUUAGAUUAAAAACCAAUGCCCUCUGGGCUCUCUGGUGAUUCAUGAUAACUUCGCGAAUCGCAUGGCCUUGCGCCGGCGAUGGCUCAUUCAAAUUUCUUCCCUAUCAACUUUCGAUGUUUGGGUAUUGGCCAAACAUGGUUGCAACGGGUAACGGAGGGUUAGGGCUCGACCCCGGAGAAGGAGCCUGAGAAACGGCUACUACAUCCAAGGAAGGCAGCAGGCGCGCAAAUUACCCAAUCCCGACACGGGGAGGUAGUGACAAUAAAUACUGAUACAGGGCUCUUUUGGGUCUUGUAAUUGGAAUGAGUACAAUUUAAAUCCCUUAACGAGGAACAAUUGGAGGGCAAGUCUGGUGCCAGCAGCCGCGGUAAUUCCAGCUCCAAUAGCGUAUAUUAAAGUUGUUGUGGUUAAAAAGCUCGUAGUUGAACCUUGGGCCUGGCUGGCCGGUCCGCCUCACCGCGUGUACUGGUCCGGCCGGGCCUUUCCCUCUGUGGAACCUCAUGCCCUUCACUGGGUGUGGCGGGGAAACAGGACUUUUACUUUGAAAAAAUUAGAGUGCUCAAGGCAGGCCUAUGCUCGAAUACAUUAGCAUGGAAUAAUAGAAUAGGACGUGUGGUUCUAUUUUGUUGGUUUCUAGGACCGCCGUAAUGAUUAAUAGGGACAGUCGGGGGCAUCAGUAUUCAAUUGUCAGAGGUGAAAUUCUUGGAUUUAUUGAAGACUAACUACUGCGAAAGCAUUUGCCAAGGAUGUUUUCAUUAAUCAGGAACGAAAGUUAGGGGAUCGAAGACGAUCAGAUACCGUCGUAGUCUUAACCAUAAACUAUGCCGACUAGGGAUCGGACGAUGUUAUUUUUUGACUCGUUCGGCACCUUACGAGAAAUCAAAGUGC